ACCUGGGAACUGCAUUCGAAACUGGCAGGCUUGAGUCUUGUAGAGGGGGGUAGAAUUCCAGGUGUAGCGGUGAAAUGCGUAGAGAUCUGGAGGAAUACCGGUGGCGAAGGCGGCCCCCUGGACAAAGACUGACGCUCAGGUGCGAAAGCGUGGGGAGCAAACAGGAUUAGAUACCCUGGUAGUCCACGCCGUAAACGAUGUCUACUUGGAGGUUGUGCCCUUGAGGCGUGGCUUCCGGAGCUAACGCGUUAAGUAGACCGCCUGGGGAGUACGGCCGCAAGGUUAAAACUCAAAUGAAUUGACGGGGGCCCGCACAAGCGGUGGAGCAUGUGGUUUAAUUCGAUGCAACGCGAAGAACCUUACCUGGUCUUGACAUCCACAGAACUUUCCAGAGAUGGAUUGGUGCCUUCGGGAACUGUGAGACAGGUGCUGCAUGGCUGUCGUCAGCUCGUGUUGUGAAAUGUUGGGUUAAGUCCCGCAACGAGCGCAAC
rnacentral:rRNA from 1 species